UGUGUGUGUGUGUGUGUGUGUGUGUGUGUGUGUGUGUGUGUGUGCGCGGGUCCCACAGUCCUGCAUCGUAACAAACUGACCCACAC
rnacentral:miRNA from 1 species